GACUAUGGCCAUAUCACCCUGAAUGCUUCUGAUCUUGGAAGCUAAGCAGGGUUGGUCUAGGUUAAUACGUGGAUGGAAGACCGCCUGGGAAUACUGCGUGCUGUGCUUU
ensembl:rRNA 5S_rRNA 5S ribosomal RNA